UACGUAGGGGGCUAGCGUUGUCCGGAAUCAUUGGGCGUAAAGCGCGUGUAGGCGGUCCGGUAAGUCCGCUGUGAAAGUCGGGGGCUCAACCCUCGGAUGCCGGUGGAUACUGUCGGGCUUGAGUACGGAAGAGGCGAGUGGAAUUCCUGGUGUAGCGGUGAAAUGCGCAGAUAUCAGGAGGAACACCGGUGGCGAAGGCGGGUCUCUGGGCCGGAACUGACGCUGAGGAGCGAAAGCGUGGGUAGCAAACAGG
rnacentral:rRNA from 1 species